GGAGGAGAGCAGCUGAGCAUUUUACGUCACUUCACUUUUAUAUCAAACAACAAUGCUCUCAUUAUCAGUGCUGCUGCUGCUUUCAGCUUCAUUCUGUGGUGUUGGCGGUGUGGAGCUCACUCAGACAGCCUCUGUGCUCUUGAAGCCUGGAGAGUCGUUCUCCAUCUCUUGUAAGAUCUCAGUGUGGAGUUACUGUAUUCACUGGAUAUGGCAACCUGCUGGAAAAGCUCUGGAAUGGCUCGGAUAUCUCUGUAGUGGUGGUGGCACUGAUCUCAAAGACACAAUGAAGAGCAAGAUCAGUCUCAGCCAGGACAAAUCCAUCAGCACGGUUUAUUUAAGAGGACAGAACUUUCAGGUCGAGGACACGGCUGUGUAUUACUGUGCCAGAGACACAACACGACAAACUCACUGAAGCCCUAGCGCUCUUAUUGACUUGGUGUUGCAUUUGAUCUGAUCUGUCCCAUUGAGCAAGAUAUGUUAUACGUUCUUUAUAGUAUGUAUUUCUGAUCUUCUUCUAUGCUAUAAUUACUGUUUCUGAUUACAAUCAUUAUUACUCUUAGGGAAGGUUCUUGUUUCUUUCUGCACUCUCAUCUAUUAUGGUUUUCCCUGUGAUUAUUUUAUAGCUAUAAUGCUUACAGUGAAUUAUGGAUUGUCAUAGUUCUGCUCAUAUGUUAAACCUACUACUGGGUGUUUCAUAUUUCAUACCGAGGAUAUAUCUUAUCUUAUGGAACUGAGAGUAUAUAAGGUAAGGAGAGAUAAGGAAGUGGGUGAUAUAUUUAGUUGUUGUUUUGGGGGUUUGGUUGC